rnacentral:rRNA from 1 species
UACGUAGGGUGCGAGCGUUGUCCGGAAUUAUUGGGCGUAAAGAGCUUGUAGGCGGUUUGUCGCGUCUGCUGUGAAAUCUCAAGGCUCAACCUUGAGCUUGCAGUGGGUACGGGCAGACUAGAGUGUGGUAGGGGAGACUGGAAUUCCUGGUGUAGCGGUGAAAUGCGCAGAUAUCAGGAGGAACACCAAUUGCGAAGGCAGCUCGCUGGGACGUUACUGACGCUGAUGCGCGAAAGCGUGGGGAGCAAACAGG